rnacentral:lncRNA from 1 species
GGGGCAAACGUUGAACGGCUUAGGGAGCAGUACGGUAUCCCGGAGCAGUUUGAACUCUUCGCCCCUGAGGCUGAGGGUCGGGUUAACAACCCACCUCCAGGUCAGGUGGCCUUUUAUGUCGAGGACCUUCGGACAGAUCUUCGCAUCCCGAUUUCGGAGUUCGUCCGGAACGUCUUGGAUUAUUACGGACUUUGCUCGACGCAACUGAUGCCGAACUCAGUC